rnacentral:tRNA from 1 species
UCCUUGGCAGUCCAAUGGCUAGGGCUCUGUGCUUUCAAUGCUGUGGGCCCAGGUUCAAUCCCUGGUUAGGGAA